CGCUGUUCUCAGGGCGGGGUGAAAUUCCCCACCGGCGGUAAAUGGGAAACCCCCAUGAGCCCGCGAGCGGCUUUGGUUCGGUCCAAAGUGUCAGCAGAUCCGGUGAAACUCCGGAGCCGACGGUCAUAGUCCGGAUGAAAGAGAACGUGC
rfam:Phaeobacter sp. CECT 7735 genome assembly, contig: 0006